CCUGGUUGAUCCUGCCAGUGGCAUAUGCUUGUCUCAAAGAUUAAGCCAUUCGCGUGUAAGUACAUCUGGCCUGUACAGUGAAACCGCAAAUGGCUCAUUUAAUCAUUGAUGGUUCUUUUGAUCGCUUCAUCUGUUACUCAGAUAACUGUGGUAAUUCUAGAGCUAAUAUAUGCCGAAGAGCGCUGACCUCUCGGGAUGCAUGCAUUUAUCAGACCAAGACCAAUCCGGAUUGCCCAGCCUCUUUGAUGACUGCGCAAUGGGAAUGAUGCAUUCAGAUCUCUGCCUUAUCAACUUUGAUGGUACUUUCUGUGCCUACCAUGAUGACCGCGGUGGAACGGGAAUCAUGGUUUGAUUCCGGAGAAAUAGCCUGAGAAAUGGCUACCAAAUCCACGGAAGGCAGCAUGUGCGCAAAUUAUCCACUCCCGACUCGGGGAGGUAGAGAUGAACAAUUGCAAUACAGGAUUCUUUCUAGGCCAUGUUAUUGGAAUGAGUACACUUUCCAUCCUUUAACAAGUAUUAGUUGGAGGGCAAGUCUGGGGCCAGCAGCUGCAAUAAUUCCAGCUCCAAUAGCAUAAAUUAAAGUUGCUGCAGUUAAAAAGCUUGUAGUUGGAUCUUGGGAUUGACCUGGUGGUUGGUUGCGAGGUGAGAUACCGCCUGUCCCAACCCAACCCCCUUGAUGCUCUUGACUGAUUGUCCUGGGGGUCUGGUCACUUGACUACUUCAGCUAGGGAUAAUAGUAUAGGACUCUGGUUCUAUUUUGUUGGUUUUCAUAAGUGGGGACAUGAUUAAGUGGGACAGCCGGGGGCAUUCGUAUUGUGCCAUUAGAGGUCAAAUUCUUGGACCGGUGCAAGAUGAACGAAAGCUAAAGCAUUUGCCAAGAAUGUCAAGAAUGAAAGUUGGAGGUUUGAACACUAUCAAAUACCAACGUAGUUCCGACCAUAAAUGAUUACGACCAGUGAUCCAGAAGCAUGAUUCCCAUGACCUGCCUAGUAGCUUACAGGAAACCAAAGUAUUUUGGUUCAGGGGGAGUAUUGUUGGGAAGCUAAAACUUAAAGGAAUUUACAGCGGCUUAAUUUGUCUCAACACAGGAAAUCUCACACGGCCCGGACAUGGAAAGGAUUGACAGAUUGAUAGCUCUUUCUCAAUUCUGUGGGUGGUGAUGCGUGGCCGUUCAUAGUUAGUGGAGUGAUUUAUCUGGUUAAUUCCAAAAAUGAAUGAAGCUCCUCCGUGCUAACUAGUUACGUGACCGCCAGCGGUUGGCGUUCAACUUCUUAGAGGGACAAAUAGUGUUCAGCCACAUGAGAUCAAGCAAUAACAGUUCGGGAAAGCCCUUAGAUGUCUGGGGCUGCACACGCACUACACUGAAUGUAUCACUGUGUUUCUACCCUUCGCCAACAGGUAUGGGUAACUGAACCUUGCUAAUGACAUGGAUUGAGAAUGGCAAUUAUUUCCCAUGAACGUAGAUUAAGUCCCUGCCAUUUCUACACAUCGUCCAUCGCAAAUACUGAUAGCAUCAUUUAGUGAAGUCCUCUGAUUGGCACCACUGGGACUGGUAAAAGCCCUGGUGGAGCACUGAGAAGAUGAUCAUACUUGACUGUCUAGAGAAAGUCAUAACAAGGUUUCCAAAGGUGAACGUGUGGAAG
rnacentral:rRNA from 1 species